UACGGGGGGAGCAAGCGUUGUUCGGAUUUACUGGGCGUAAAGGGCGCGUAGGCGGCCAGCGCAAGUCAGUUGUGAAAUCUCCGGGCUUAACUCGGAACGGUCAACUGAUACUGCGCGGCUAGAGUGCGGAAGGGGCAACUGGAAUUCUCGGUGUAGCGGUGAAAUGCGUAGAUAUCGGGAGGAACACCAGUGGCGAAGGCGGUUGCCUGGAGCUUUGCUGACGCUGAGGCGCGAAAGCGUGGGGAGCGAUCCGG
rnacentral:rRNA from 1 species